rnacentral:rRNA from 1 species
UACGAAGGGGCUAGCGUUGCUCGGAAUUACUGGGCGUAAAGCGCACGUAGGCGGCUUGGUAUGUCGGGUGUGAAAUCCCCGGGCUCAACCUGGGAACUGCAUCCGAACUGCCUUGCUCGAGUAUGGGAGAGGGAAGUGGAAUUUCCGGUGUAGGCGGUGAAAUGCGUAGAUAUCGGAAAGGAACAUCAGUGGCGAAGGCGACUUCCUGGACCAAUACUGACGCUGAGACCGCGAAAGCGUGGGGAGCGAACAGG